ACGGAAGGCAGCAGUGUGGAAUAUUGGUCAAUGGGCGGAAGCCUGAACCAGCCAAGUCGCGUGAAGGAAGAAGGUAUUAUGUAUUGUAAACUUCUUUAGACGUAGAGAAAUAAGCGGGUCGUGACCCGUGAUGCUAGUAUACGUAGAAUAAGGAUCGGCUAACUCCGUGCCAGCAGCCGCGGUAAUACGGAGGAUCCGAGCGUUAUCCGGAUUUAUUGGGUUUAAAGGGUGCGCAGGCGGUCUUUUAAGUCAGUGGUUAAAUAGUGAGGCUCAACCUCAUCCCGCCAUUGAUACUGGGAGACUUGAGUGCGGUCGAGGUUGGCGGAAUUCGCCGUGUAGCGGUGAAAUGCAUAGAUAUGGCGAAGAACUCCGAUUGCGUAGGCAGCUGACCAGGCCGUAAAUGACGCUCAUGCACGAAAGUGCGGGGAUCGAACAGGAUUAGAUACCCUGGUA
rnacentral:rRNA from 1 species